AUUGAACGCUUGCGGCAGGCCUAACACAUGCAAGUCGAACGAUUGGCGGAUGGGCGAGUAAUGUCGGGGAAACUGCCUGAUGGUUGGGGAUAACUACUGUAACCGGUAGCUUAUACCGCAUACCAUCGGAUGUGCCCAGAUGGGAUUCGCGAGUAGGCGGGGUAAAGGCUCACCUCGGCGACGAUCCCCAGCUGGUCUGAGAGGAUGACCAGCCACACUGGAAAUGAGACACGGUCCAGACUCCUACGGGAGGGAGCAGUGGGGAAUAUUGCACAAUGGGCGCAAGCCUGAUGCAGCCAUGCCGCGUGUAUGAAGAAGGCCUUCGGGUUGUAAAGUACUUUCAGCGGGGAGGCGUUACCCGCAGAAGAAGCACCGGCUAACUCCGGGCCAGCAGCCGCGGUAAUAC
rnacentral:rRNA from 1 species